rnacentral:piRNA from 1 species
UAUGAAAGUUUGGGGGAAACAAUGU